rnacentral:rRNA from 1 species
UAAACAUUGACAGUUGAUUACACCCGCUGUCCGCCUGGGAACUACGAGCACCAGCUUAAAACCCAAAGGACUUGGCGGUGCUUUAGACCCACCUAGAGGAGCCUGUUCUAGAACCGAUAAUCCCCGUUAAACCUCACCCUUCCUUGCCAUUUCCGCCUAUAUACCACCGUCGCCAGCUUACCCUGUGAAGGCCCCAUAGUAAGCACAAUCGGCAAAGCCCAGAACGUCAGGUCGAGGUGUAGCGAAUGGAAGGGGAAGAAAUGGGCUACAUUUACUAAUACAGUAAAUACGGAUGAUUACCCUGAAACGAGUAUCUGAAGGAGGAUUUAGCAGUAAGCAAAAAAUAGAGUGUUUUGCUGAAGUUGGC